GAUGAACGCUAGCUACAGGCUUAACACAUGCAAGUCGAGGGACCGGCGCACGGGUGAGAAACACGUAUCCAACCUGCCCUUUACUCGGUGAUUGCCUUUCGCAAGAACGAUUAAUACCCGACAUAAAGGAUGGGGAUGCGUUCCAUUAGGUUGUUGGUGAGGUAACGGCUCACCAAGCCUUCGCUGGCUAGGGGUUCUGAGAGGAAGGUCCACGAGAUUGGAACUUGGACCCGGACCAAACUCGUACGGAAGAGAGCAGAGAGGAGUAUUAGUGAAUGGGCGGUGGCCUGAACCAGCCAAGUGGCGUAAGGAAGGAAGGCUUGUGAGUCGUAAACUUCUUGUAUAUAAGAAUAUGUAUUAUAUGAAUAAGGAUCGGCUAACUCCGUGCCAGCCGCCACGGUAAUAC
rnacentral:rRNA from 1 species